rnacentral:tRNA from 1 species
GAAAUAAUUAAAAUUGAACUUCUAAUUCGAUAAAAUAUGAUCUAAUCAUUUUAUUUCU